rnacentral:rRNA from 1 species
UAGGGAAUCUUCCGCAAUGGACGAAAGUCUGACGGAGCAACGCCGCGUGAGUGAAGAAGGAUUUCGGUUCGUAAAACUCUGUUGUUAGGGAAGAAAAAAUGUAUAGUAACUAUAUACAAAAGAGACGGUACCUAACCAGAAAGCCACGGCUAACUACGUGCCAGCAGCCGCGGUAAUACGUAGGUGGCAAGCGUUGUCCGGAAUUAUUGGGCGUAAAGCGCGCGCAGGUGGUUUAGUAAGUCUGAUGUGAAAGCCCACGGCUCAACCGUGGAGGGUCAUUGGAAACUAAUAAACUUGAGUGCAGGAGAUAAAAGUGGAAUUCCUAGUGUAGCGGUGAAAUGCGUAGAGAUAAGGAGGAACACCGGUGGCGAAAGCGGCUUUUUGGCCUGCAACUGACACUGAGGCGCGAAAGCGGGGGGAGCAAACAGG